UUCCACAGGAUUAGAUUUCUUUCCUUUCUUAUCAGGAGACAAUCAGCAUUACAACACCUCCCUGCUGGCCGCAGCAGCGGCGGCGGUCUCCGAUGACCAGGACCUCCUGCACUCCUCCCGAUUUUUCCCGUAUACCUCCUCGCAGAUGUUUCUUGAUCAACUAAGUGCAGGAGGAAGCACUUCUCUGCCAGCUACCAACGGAAGCAGUAGUGGCAGCAACAGCAGCCUUGUGUCUUCCAACAGUCUGAGGGAGAGCCACGGCCAUGGGGUGGCCAGCAGGAGCAGCACAGACACGGCGUCCAUCUUUGGCAUCAUACCAGACAUUAUCUCAUUGGACUGACGCCCUCACCCUGCUGCUUCCACCCCAUCCCAGAUUAAAUGACUUGGCAGAAGAGAACUCUAUGCUCUGUUUUACCUUAUCCUGUUUAGAAAAGUAUACAAGCGUGGUUUUUUUUUCCUUUUUUUUAGGGAAAAAAAAUUAAAAGAAAUGUACAGAGAACAAAACUAUAUUUUCAGUUUUACUUUUGUAUAUAAAUCUAAGACUGCCUGUCUGAUAAAACACUUGUUUAAAAAAAAAAAAAACAAAAGAAAAAAAAGAAAAGAAAAAGAAAAGAAAAAAAACAAGCACCCACAAACCUUCAGUUCAUUUCUUCUGGAUUCUCAAGACUUUUCACCGUUUGUCCUAUGGUUUGGGUUUUAUUUUACUUCAAUGGCAUUAUCUUUCUUGCAAUAAUGGAAACAAUUGCAUGUAUGAGGUUUAAAUUGUGGGCUUUGUUGUGGGGAAGGGGUUGGGAUAGCUUUGAUUUCCAUUUUUUUAAAGUGACAGACUUGGAUUCUGUUUGUGUGUGCGUGGGUUUUACCAGCCUUAAGUUAUGAACCUUGUCUAUCUUACUGCAUCCCCUUUGUCUUCAGGACAGAGCUCGUGUGUUUGUGUAUGUGUGUGUGUGUGUGUGUGUGUGUGUAUCCGUGUAUGUAUGCGUGAGCGCCUGUGCACCUGUGUGUACUGUUCUGUCGCCACUGCCCCCUCCUCCUCAGUAGUUUGCAUUUGGUUAAUAUCAGUUCCCUGCUUCUUUCAAAAUGCUUCAGAGGUCUUGAACUCUUGUGUGAGCAUUUUUCUCAACUCUCCCCAGGUGCAUGUUCUCCAUCACAGAUCCUCUGGGAUCUGCUGUCUACCCUCUACGAGUGUGUUUCCCAGAAGUGCUGGAGCAAAGGCCGCCUGGAUAAGCAGUCUGUGGGCAGGCCCUCGACUGACAAUACACUUUUGUUGAUUCUAAAUCUGAAUUGCCAGUGUUCUGUAUGUAAGCCAAGGCUGUGAGCUGAGCGCCUGCAUUUUGGCCACAGGGUAACAAGUUUUCCUUGAGGAUCUUCAUACCAAAAUGGGAUGUGAAAGAACUCUCGUACCCCUAUGGGGUGUGGAAUGCCAUUUGCACCUGGCAGAGGACAGACGUUCCAUUCCACUGAAAGAAAAGAAGGAAGGAAGGAAGGAAGGAAGGAAGGAAGGAAGGAAGGAAGGAAGGAAGGAAGGAAGGAAGGAAGGAAGGAAGUUUCCCUAAAGUUAACAGCACAGCGCAGCCCACAUGUGCAUCCAAAGCAAAUCUGUUGGAUAAACAGCUGAAACUCAAAAAUAACCUUAGUUAGUUUGGUUGUCUUGCUCUGAGUAUACUUUCUUUCUUAGCCGUGUUCUUUUUUCCUUCACCUUUUAGUGGCAAGCAUGACAUAGGAAGCCUUUUUUUUUUUUUUUUAAUUCAAGAGUCAGUUGGCCUUACCUACUCUCAAUAGCAGAAUAUGUAAAUAUAUUAAAAUUUGUUUCAGGAGAUAAGUAAGGGUCAAAGGAAGGAAAAAGUGCUUCUCAUCCUUCAGAGUCAGCAAAGAAGAAAGUGUGCUCUUACAGUGGGAGGUGGUGGCCGUUGACGGAGGGUGCGGGCUUAGCUACAGCGAGCAGGGGCACGCCAGCCCCUCUGCCUGCACUGGCUUUUUAUGUUACACCUUUGUGUUCUCAGAGUUGGAGAAGGGCCAUCUUUGUGUAUAGUAAAUUUGUUUUCAAGCCUUGCAUCAGUAACAGAAGGGUCGAUACUAAUCCAGGUAGAAGAAGUCAAGACGGCUGUGUCUUCAGUUGUAAGAUAAAAGCAAGUGGUUCCGGUGACAGUGUGGCAUCUAAAAACAAUAAUCUGUUUUAUAGUGUCUCUCUGCUACUAAAAUAUCGACUUGAAGUUUUAAAAAAAAGUUGGUGUUGAUAUGUAUAUGUGUGUGUGUGUAUACAUGUAUUUAUAAACAAGUGUGUGUGAAUAACAUCGUCGUCUUCCCCUACGCAUGUGUGUUCCACACAGAAACGAACGGCUGUGCUAGAGUCACAAAACAAUUCGCAAUAAAACAAGACAUUUGUUGUCAGUUCAAACCAGAAA